rnacentral:rRNA from 1 species
ACGAACGCUGGCGGCAUGCCUAACACAUGCCAGUCGCACGAACCCUUCGGGGUUAGUGGCGCACGGGUGCGUAACGCGUGGGAAUCUGCCCUUUGCUUCGGAAUAACUCAGGGAAACUUGUGCUAAUACCGGAUGAUGUCUUCGGACCAAAGAUUUAUCGGCAAGGGAUGAGCCCGCGUAGGAUUAGGUAGUUGGUGGGGUAAAGGCCUACCAAGCCGACGAUCCUUAGCUGGUCUGAGAGGAUGAUCAGCCACACUGGGACUGAGACACGGCCCAGACUCCUACGGGAGGCAGCAGUGGGGAAUAUUGGACAAUGGGCGCAAGCCUGAUCCAGCAAUGCCGCGUGAGUGAUGAAGGCCCUCGGGUCGUAAAGCUCUUUUACCAGGGAUGAUAAUGACAGUACCUGGAGAAUAAGCUCCGGCUAACUCCGUG